ACAUGAUGAGUCAGAGGUUCUAUAACAUGAUGAGUCAGAGGUUCUAUAACAUGAUGAGUCAGAGGUUCUAUAACAUGAUGAGUCAGAGGUUCUAUAACAUGAUGAGUCAGAGGUUCAAUAAUGUGACGAGUCAGAGGUUCUAAAACAAGAUGAGUCAGAGGUUCUAUAACAUGACGAGUCAGAGGUUCAAUAACAUGAUGAGUCAGAGGUUCUAAAACAUGAUGAGUCAGAGGUUCUAAAACAUGACGGGUCAGAGGUUCUAUAACAUGAUGAGUCAGAGGUUCUAAAACAUGAUGAGUCAGAGGUUCUAAAACAUGACGGGUCAGAGGUUCUAUAACAUGAUGAGUCAGAGGUUCUAAAACAUGAUGAGUCAGAGGUUCUAAAACAUGACGGGUCAGAGGUUCUAUAACAUGAUGAGUCAGAGGUUCAUGAUGAGUCAGAGGUUCUAUAACAUGAUGAGUCAGAGGUUCUAUAACAUGAGUCAGAGGUUCUAUAACAUGAUGAGUCAGAGGUUCUAUAACAUGAGUCAGAGGUUCUAUAACAUGAUGAGUCAGAGGUUCUAUAACAUGAGUCAGAGGUUCUAUAACAUGAUGAGUCAGAGGUUCUAUAACAUGAGUCAGAGGUUCUAUAACAUGAUGAGUCAGAGGUUCAAUAAUAUGAGUCAGAGGUUCUAUAACAUGAUGAGUCAGAGGUUC